GGCCGUCACGUGGGGCAGCGUGGGCCGCUGCCUUGGAAACGCAGAGCGCGCGCUCCAGGUAAAGGCUGCUACGCCCAGGACAGGGUUCUCACGGUGGAGGAAAGGACUUCUGCGGGAUACCACGCUGUGCGCCAAAAAGCCGGGCGGCUUCGGAGCCAGAGCAGCGGCUCUGCGGCGCAGGCGGCGGGUCGGGGCAGCCUUGAAGCCGGGAUCCGGCCCGAAGGGGUCUUUUUGGAGUUCCUGAGCUCAGUGCCCCAGAAGGCACAUACUUCAUAUGAAAUAUGAAGGAUUUCAUACUGCACAAGAAAAAGCCUUGAGAAAGACAGAAUUGCUUGUGGACCGUGCGUGUUCCACCCCACCUGGGCCCCAGACCGUGCUGAUCCUUGAUGAGCUCUCGGAUUCCUUGUGCAGAGUGACCGACUUGUGGAGGGGCUAGCCAGACAGCACAUUCAAGCUGUAUGUCCCGGGAUGAUUCCAAUGAAGGCUCUUCACAGGAACACGGAGAGAGGCCAUGCCCUGACCCUGCAGACGGAGCUGUGGACAAUGCUGUUUAAAGACUCCCCAACCUGCCCCCGAGAGUUCAGGACCCUGUAUGACGCGUUUCCAGCCUUCUAUGUGACUGUGGAGGAAGCCGAUCCUGUGGAGGAAGCUGAUCCAAGAUUCGGUGCUCGCUCCAGAAGCCCCAGGGGCACUAGUGCUAUCUGACAUUCUUCUCUAAACCCCUUGACCGAUGAGGCCAGGGACCUCAGCGCAGCCUCAUCCUCCUGCCCCUGGGGACAUUUACUGGAAUCCUCUGCUGCUCUGAUUCUGCCAGGCCCUGCCUGCAGGGGGUUCAUACCACCCUCAAGGCACCUGGGCCCCUGGGUACCUACGCACAGGCCUGGGGGAAGGACCCUCUGCAGGGCCCGUGUGUGGGAGCCUCUCCUGUAAGUUCUCUCUCCUGGUCUCCUGCCCUGUUCUGGUUUCUGGGACACAAAUUCAAACCCCUGCCCACACUCAUCACUACUUCCUUCCCUGCCCAUCUUUUAAAUAUUAUCAUGCAAUAAAAUAUACAUAAUAUAAAA
rnacentral:lncRNA from 1 species